rnacentral:rRNA from 1 species
GAUGAACGCUAGCGAUAGGCUUAACACAUGCAAGUCGAGGGGCAGCAUAAGAGUAUCAAUACUUUGGUGGCGACCGGCGCACGGGUGAGUAACACGUAUGCAACCUACCCGUAACAGCGGAAUACCCCGUCGAAAGGCGGCCUAAUACCGCAUGAUGACAUUAGUCUGCAUGGUCUGAUGUCUAAAGAUUAAUCGGUUACGGAUGGGCAUGCGUUCCAUUAGGCAGUUGGAGAGGUAACGGCUCCCCAAACCUACGAUGGAUAGGGGUUCUGAGAGGAAGGUCCCCCACAUUGGUACUGAGACACGGACCAAACUCCUACGGGAGGCAGCAGUGAGGAAUAUUGGUCAAUGGGCGCGAGCCUGAACCAGCCAAAUCGCGUGAAGGAUGAAGGUAUUAUGUAUUGUAAACUUCUUUUGUCGGGGAAUAAAGUGCGCCACGAGCUGGUGUAUUGUAAGUACCCGAAGAAUAAGGAUCGGCUAACUCCGUGCCAGCAGCCGCGGUAAUACGGAGGAUCCGAGCGUUUAUCCGGAUUUAUUGGGUUUAAAGGGUGCGUAGGCGGACGUUCAAGUCAGCGGUGAAAGUUCAUGGCUCAACCAUGGAAUUGCCGUUGAAACUGGAUGUCUUGAGUGUAGAUGAGGUAGGCGGGAUUUCGUAGUGUAGCGGUGAAAUUGCUUAUAUAUUACGAAGAUCUCCGAUUGCUUAGCAGCUUACUAGGCUACAAAUGACGCUGAGGCACGAAAGGUGCGGGGUAUCAAACAGGAUUUAGAUACCCUGGUAGUCCGCACAGUAAACGAUGAAUACUAGCUGUUUGCGAUAUACGGUAAGUGGCAAAGCGAAAGCAUUAAGUAUUCCACCUGGGGAGUACGCCGGCAACGGUGAAACUCAAAAGGAAUUGACGGGGGCCCGCACAAGCGGAGGAACAUGUGGUUUAAUUCGAUGAUACGCGAGGAACCUUACCCGGGCUUGAAUUGCAGAUGAAUAAGCAGGAAACUGUUUAGCCAGUAAUGGCAUCUGUGAAGGUGCUGCAUGGUUGUCGUCAGCUCGUGCCGUGAGGUGUCGGCUUAAGUGCCAUAACGAGCGCAACCCUCAUCAUUAGUUACUAACAGGUCAUGCUGAGGACUCUAAUGAGACUGCCAGCGUAAGCUGUGAGGAAGGUGGGGAUGACGUCAAAUCAGCACGGCCCUUACGUCCGGGGCGACACACGUGUUACAAUGGGGGGGACAGCAGGCAGCCACGCGGCGACGCGGAGCUAAUCCCCAAACCCCCUCUCAGUUCGGAUCGAAGUCUGCAACCCGACUUCGUGAAGCUGGAUUCGCUAGUAAUCGCGCAUCAGCCAUGGCGCGGUGAAUACGUUCCCGGGCCUUGUACACACCGCCCGUCAAGCCAUGGAAGUUGGGGGUGCCUAAAGUACGUAACCGCAAGGAGCGUCCUAGGGCAAAACCGAUAACUGGGGCU